rnacentral:rRNA from 1 species
AUAAGCACCGGCUAACUACGUGCCAGCAGCCGCGGUAAUACGUAGGGUGCAAGCGUUAUCCGGAAUUAUUGGGCGUAAAGGGCUCGUAGGCGGUUCGUCGCGUCCGGUGUGAAAGUCCAUCGCUUAACGGUGGAUCUGCGCCGGGUACGGGCGGGCUGGAGUGCGGUAGGGGAGACUGGAAUUCCCGGUGUAACGGUGGAAUGUGUAGAUAUCGGGAAGAACACCAAUGGCGAAGGCAGGUCUCUGGGCCGUUACUGACGCUGAGGAGCGAAAGCGUGGGGAGCGAACAGGAUUAGAUACCCUGGUAGUCCACGCCGUAAACGGUGGAUGCUGGAUGUGGGGCCCGUUCCACGGGUUCCGUGUCGGAGCUAACGCGUUAAGCAUCCCGCCUGGGGAGUACGGCCGCAAGGCUAAAACUCAAAGAAAUUGACGGGGGCCCGCACAAGCGGCGGAGCAUGCGGAUUAAUUCGAUGCAACGCGAAGAACCUUACCUGGGCUUGACAUGUUCCCGACGCUCGUGUCGUGAGAUGUUGGGUUAAGUCCCGCAACGAGCGCAACCCUCGCCCUGUGUUGCCAGCACGUCAUGGUGGGAACUCACGGGGGACCGCCGGGGUCAACUCGGAGGAAGGUGGGGAUGACGUCAGAUCAUCAUGCCCCUUACGUCCAGGGCUUCACGCAUGCUACAAUGGCCGGUACAACGGGAUGCGACACGGCGACGUGGAGCGGAUCCCUGAAAACCGGUCUCAGUUCGGAUUGGAGUCUGCAACCCGACUCCAUGAAGGCGGAGUCGCUAGUAAUCGCGGAUCAGCAACGCCGCGGUGAAUGCGUUCCCGGGCCUUGUACACACCGCCCGUCAAGUCAUGAAAGUGGGUAGCACCCGAAGCCGGUGGCCUAACCCUUUGUGGAUGGAGCCGUCUAAGGUGAGACUCGUGAUUGGGACUAAGUCGUAACAAGGUAGCCGUACCGGAAGGUGCGGCUG